GAAAAGACUGCAUAUUUAUUUCCCUUCUGGGAACUUCAUGUUCUAUGUUAGCAUAUGUAAGUCUCUAAGGAGCCCUACAGUAACAUUUUUGAGAGCAAAUGGAUUUAACAUUCAUUUGGUCAAAAGUAUUUUCUUUGUUGUUUUGCUUUGUAUUGUUUUCAUGGAAUAUCUUAGUAUCCUAGACCUAACAAGUAUACCAUGAAACAUACCCAGGAAGUAUUAUCAGAGGCCAGGGAUUCCCAGUUGCUUCUCUGCAGAACGGCUGUUCCAGAAUGAGAUUCCAUGGUGACCACUAUUUGACAAAUAACAACAAAGAGACACCGACCAAACUUCCACCAGCAACUGUUGGUUGUAGCAUUAGAAAUGGAGAGAUUCAGGAUGUGUUCUGGAGGAAGAAUUUUCAGAGCCUUCUAAUGAAUUCAAUAUGAUGGAGGACAGUGGGUAGAAAGGUUUGGAUGGUGAGAACACUUCCUCCUGGAGGUUGAAUAAGCAGAUUGCCGGGACCUUCGAGAGUUGAGUGGAGAGUCGGCUUUGGAAAGAGACGAGGCCCCUGCUUGUCCUCCCCUCAUCUCCUAUCUACUCCUCCACGUUGUUCCUCUAACUCUCCUGAGUUAACAGUCUGUUGCCUCAUGUAUCAUGUCCUUAUUUGUCUCUGUACCUCAAAGCACGGUAGUAGUCCAAGCAAAAGAUAUGGCAGGCUGGACCACGGUCACAGCAGGGCAGAUGGAGAGUAUGUUAGUAGAGAAGUUAAAGAUCCAAGGGAGCAGAUCCUGGUGCCUGGUGUUCCCCGUCUAAAUACCCCACCAUGACAAGAAAGACCCUUUGCUAUCUGCCCCUACAUCCAUCUGCCUAUCACCACCUCCCACCUCCAGAGGAACUGUGAACUUCAGGCCCCUCCGUGCCCUGCAGAAUGCUGCUUGUUUUACGUUCACCUCCACGUGGCUCUUCUGGCCUGACCUGACUUCCUCCCCAACUUGCCUCCUUCAUUUCCCACAGCAAAUGGUGCCAUGCAUGACCUUUCCUAUAAUAGGAUGAAGCAUUUUUGCCCAGUUGUCCAAAAUGCUCUGGCAUAUAUCUCAGCUAUGAUAUAACUGGGUAAAAAGAAGAGUAUUGUUUCGCUGUUGGCACCAGAGUUCCGGUUAGGGAAGGAACCAUUUUUGUUUGGGAAAACACACUGAAAAGCUACAGCUAACAGAAAAUAAGGCCUUGAGAGAAAGCAGGAACAACACAGAGACAGAUUAAAAACCUGAGACCCGCAAAAAGCAGUAUGGAGCUGGGAGAGGAGAGAAGGGGGAGAGAUGGGGGGAUGGGCAGAAGAGAUCCAGAGAAUGUGGCAGAAAACAUAUGUCACCAGACGAAGCAGAGACUUUUACAAAAAGAAGGAUCUAAUGUUCAAUUUAAAUUCAUCUACCAUGUGGUCAGGAGAUGCAGUGCCCCCACGCUGUUACUCCUACCUACGUCCAGUGAAAGUUUCCUCUCUGUGACUUCAUCAGCUGAGUGGAACUUUUGGCGUGUGAAGGAGACAGAUGUGACCCAUCACGUGACCAAGACGGAGAGAAAGGCACAGAGAUCAAAGAGAAAAAAGAACUCCGAAGAAACUAGGUCACCAGAGUUAGCAAGGAAAUUUAGAAAAAGAAAUAGAAAUAGAAAUACCAUCCUUCCCCCAUUCUACGUCCCUGUCUGAACAAUGUACCCCACAUGAACCAUAUACCGAGUUAUUUCCCCACCUGUAAAAUCAGAGGGAGAAACUAGGUGGUCCCUCAGGGCCCCUCCAGCUUUAAUAUUCUGUGAAUCUCAACCUUCCACCGAGCUUGGGAAAACUAAUAGAAGUUAUGUCCUAUUGUAGAAAAAUGUUUGGUGCUCCGAAUUAACUUGAUUAGGCACGGGAGAUGACAAAAUAAUGACAGUCGUUUAACACCUAGGUGAGGGGGAAAAAAACAAAUUAAGAGAAGUAUUCUCAUGGCACCAAACAAUGGCUUGUUCAGAUCCUUCUGGCAGCAAUGUAGCGUCUGUUCUAAAAAUUACAACGCGUUUUGAAAUUACUGCUUGAGUGCAUACACAAUGUGUGUCAUGUAUUUAUGUAAUUAUGUUAUUAAAAUUUUUAAAAAGUC